rnacentral:rRNA from 1 species
CCUACGGUGGGCAGCAGUGGGGAAUAUUGGGCAAUGGGCGCAAGCCUGACCCAGCAACGCCGCGUGAAGGAAGAAGGCUUUCGGGUUGUAAACUUCUUUUCUGAGGGACGAAGAAAGUGACGGUAACUCAGGAAUAAGCCACGGCUAACUACGUGCCAGCAGCCGCUGUAAUACGGCGGGGGCAAGCGUUAUCCGGAUUUAGUCGGUGUAAAGGGCGUGUAGGCGGGAAAGCAAGUCAGAUGUGAAAACUCAGGGCUCAACCCUGAGCCUGCAUUUGAAACUGGUUUGCUUGAGUGCGGGAGAGGCAAGCGGAAUGCCGUGUGUAGCGGUGAAAUGCGUAGAUAUACGGAGGAACACCGGUGGCGAAGGCGGAUUGCUGGACAGUAACUGACGCUGAGGCGCGAAAGCGUGGGGAGCAAACAGGAUUAGAUACCCGAGUAGUC